UGCAGCAUAGUUGGUGAGGCCAACUUCAAGACCGUAGCGAGGCAACUCAUGGGAGUAGGCAGCGGCCAUCACGAUAUCACCAGCAAUGGUAGCAUAGACAAUUUGUGCAGUGACAUCCUUGUUGGUCUAAAGUAGUAUUGUUAAGAGAUACAACAUGCCUCCAUGGUAACAAUAAGCAGAAUAUAGAAGAUUGACAAGUGCACAAAUCAUAACGAAGAAACUUUGAAGGAUACAAAUCGCACAACAAAACGGUACUUGGGGGUAUUGUAUUUGUUCUUGUCCUGGUUCGUGAGCCUCAGCCUGGCCCUGUAGUCGGUCUUCCCCU
rnacentral:lncRNA from 1 species